CUUGGAUUGCUACUGGCUAGCCUAGAUACAACAGGUGCUCAAAUAGGAGUUUGCUAUGGAAUGCUUGGCAAUAACCUGCCACCACCAAGACAAGUUAUAGAUCUGUACAAGCAGAAAAACAUCCUCAGAACGCGACUCUAUGACCCAAACCCAAAUGCUCUCCAAGCCCUUGGAGGUUCCAAUAUAGAGCUCAUGCUUGGCCUUGUAAAUGAAGACCUUCAACGUAUUGCUUCCAAUCAAGCUGAAGCAAAUAAGUGGGUGCAAAAUAAUGUACGAAACUAUGGAAAUGUCAAAUUCCGUUACAUUGCAGUUGGAAAUGAGGUGAAGCCCUCAGAUCCAUUCGCAAGGUUCCUAGUUCCUGCCAUGCAAAAUAUUCGCAGUGCACUCAAUUCAGCUGGUCUUGGGAAUAUUAAAGUUUCUACAGCUAUUGAUACUGGAGUCCUUACAGACCAGUCCUUCCCUCCUUCUAAUGGGGCUUUCUGGCAAGAAUAUCGACCAAUUCUUGAUCCUGUUAUUGGAUUUCUUGUGAACAACAAAUCUCCAUUGCUCGUCAACUUAUAUCCAUACUUCAGUUACAUUGGCAAUACUCGAGACAUCCGUCUUGAUUAUGCUCUUUUCACAGCUCCGUCACCUGUAGUCUCUGAUCCAAGAAAUGGACUUAGGUACCAAAACCUUUUUGAUGCCAUCCUUGAUACUGUUUAUGCUGCCUUGGAGAAGGCUGGUGGAGGCUCUUUGGAAAUUGUAGUAUCUGAAAGCGGUUGGCCUACCGCUGGAGGGGUUGGAACAUCAGUUGAAAAUGCAAGAACUUACAAUAACAACUUGAUUCAACAUGUGAAAAGAGGGAGUCCAAAGAAGCCUGGAAAACCCAUAGAAACUUACAUUUUUGCUACGUUUGAUGAGAAUACCAAAGGUGGCGCAGAGUUGGAGAAAUACUGGGGACUCUUCUUUCCAAACAAGCAGCCUAAAUACCCUGUCAAUUUCAAUUAAAACAGCGGAUAUAGCCUAUAAGUUGCAUCUAAUUAGGGACAGUGCUAUGUAUUACUAAAUAAGAGAGCACUGGAAUACCCAAAAAAAUCUUAUUAAUUUUUCAUCAUAUUAAAAAGUAAUUAUAUUUGAUUAUGGAACUUAAAGUUAGACUUAUUGCUUGACUAGGCAAUAAGUCAUCAUGCUCUAAUUCAAAGGAAG
rnacentral:misc_RNA from 1 species